rnacentral:rRNA from 1 species
CUGGCGGCAGGCUUAACACAUGCAAGUCGAGCGGGCACCUUCGGGUGUCAGCGGCGGACGGGUGAGUAACGCGUGGGAACGUGCCCUCUGGUUCGGAAUAACUCAGGGAAACUUGAGCUAAUACCGGAUACGCCCUUUUGGGGAAAGGCUUGCUGACGGAGGAUCGGCCCGCGUCUGAUUAGCUAGUUGGUGGGGUAACGGCCUACCAAGGCGACGAUCAGUAGCUGGUCUGAGAGGAUGAUCAGCCACACUGGGACUGAGACACGGCCCAGACUCCUACGGGAGGCAGCAGUGGGGAAUAUUGGACAAUGGGCGCAAGCCUGAUCCAGCCAUGCCGCGUGAGUGAUGAAGGCCUUAGGGUUGUAAAGCUCUUUUAUCCGGGACGAUAAUGACGGUACCGGAGGAAUAAGCCCCGGCUAACUUCGUGCCAGCAGCCGCGGUAAUACGAAGGGGGCUAGCGUUGCUCGGAAUCACUGGGCGUAAAGGGCGCGUAGGCGGCGUUUUAAGUCGGGGGUGAAAGCCUGUGGCUCAACCACAGAAUGGCCUUCGAUACUGGGACGCUUGAGUAUGGUAGAGGUCGGUGGAACU